rnacentral:rRNA from 1 species
CAGUCUCCGCGGGAAUACGGAGGGUGCAAGCGUUAAUCGGAAUUACUGGGCGUAAAGCGCACGCAGGCGGUCUGACAAGUCAGAUGUGAAAUCCCCGGGCUUAACCUGGGAACUGCAUUUGAAACUGUCAGGCUGGAGUCUUGUAGAGGGGGGUGGAAUUCCAGGUGUAGCGGUGAAAUGCGUAGAGAUCUGGAGGAAUACCGGUGGCGAAGGCGGCCCCCUGGACAAAGACUGACGCUCAGGUGCGAAAGCGUGGGGAGCAAACAGGAUUAGAUACCCCGGUAGUCCCUGUCUCUUAUAC